rnacentral:rRNA from 1 species
UACGAAGGGUGCAAGCGUUGUUCGGAUUUACUGGGCGUAAAGGGCGCGUAGGCGGAUCUGCAAGUCAGAUGUGAAAGCCCUGGGCUCAACCCGGGAAUGGCAUUUGAGACUGCAAGGCUUGAGUGCGGGAGAGGGUGGCGGAAUACCCGGUGUAGAGGUGAAAUUCGUAGAUAUUGGGAGGAACACCAGUGGCGAAGGCGGCCACCUGGACCGCAACUGACGCUGAGACGCGAAAGCGUGGGGAGCAAACAGG